UGUAAGAAACACUCAUGAAGUCAUCAGGGUCAAAGUUGAUCUUCCUGUUAUUAAACGUGGCCGAGAACGUUCCCGUAGAAUCUGGCAGCAAGCCGCCGACCUUCUUCAUUUAAAUGGAGUAGUAGGGAAAAAGGCCCGCGCUGCUGGCAGGCAGGGCUCCAGCUCCACCAGGAGCCCCGGUGGACGAGGGUCGUCCUGCAGGACCGCCAGUCAUGGAGGCCCCCGUGUUUCUUUUCCUGGGAAGUCUUCCGCUGUGGUCACCCUCCCACGCUGGGUGGCAGACCAUCCCAGAAGCGGUUCCUGGGCCUCUGCCGACACCGGGACCCUAACCCUGCUUCUCCCGCCUCAUCAGAGGAGCCCAGGGGGUCGCCUCCAUUUUCCUUUCCACCAAAGGGCAGGAAAGCCAUGCGUUGCUGUGCGGGCCCCAGAAGUGUUCGCCCUCAGCAA